CACUAGGAAGCUAAACAGGGCCAAGCGUUAGCCUUUUAAGCUAAAAAUUGGUGACUCCCAACCACCUCUAGUGA
ensembl:Mt_tRNA